rnacentral:sRNA from 1 species
AGAGACUUUUGCCUAUAUACAUGGAUUACUGUUACUUAGCAGGGGCGACCGGUUGGCCAAAGCCUGGGUGUGCCAAGACCCUUACCCUCGCCUCUCCUCAGGGCUCCCUUAAGCUAACCCCUCUCCCCACAUCUGGAAAACCCUGGAUACAUUUUCUGUUCCAUCUUUAGUUUUCUGCCUCUGGAUGCCUAAAGCUUCAACCUGCUGGCUUUUAGAGGGAGAGGACUUGUUAAAAAAAAAAAAGUGGGGUGUGGGGAGAGCGGUGUUGUGAUCUGGGGGCCAGCCAUGUGGUAAAAAGGAGUAGAGCUCAAGGGGCUGCUUCUGUUCCCUCAGUUUAGGGUCCUGGGAUGCUGGCGGGUUUGGGCAGCUUUUGGGAACUAGGCAGAAGAGAGUCCUGUAUGGGAGGCCAGAGUCAAGGCAGAAGCCCAGUGCAGCCCUCUCUAAGCCAGCAGGGGAGGGUCCCCGGGGCUGAGAGCCCGGACGGAGGAAAGCACUGGUAGAAGGGCCAAGACACGGCUAGCGUGGCACCCCCUCCCCAGGACCACUUUCUCCAGGGUGAGAAGAGCAGCCAGCCCUCUGCCUCCUGUCCUCAGUGACAGCCUUCUGCUCUCUCAUGCCCACAGAGGAGCCAAUCCGGCUACUGCGGGAGGUGGUGCUGUUGACGGAUGACCGGAACCUGCGUGUGAAGGCGCUCACAAGGAAUGUUCCUGUACGGGACAUCCCAGCCUUCCUCACGUGGGCCCAGGUGGGCUGAGGGAGCCACACUGGGGCCCCCCCACCGUGGAACCGUUCCUGAAAGGCCACCAGGCGCCCAGUGUAGCACGGAAGAUGCCCACGUGCCUGAGCCACCAAUCCACCCAGACAAUAAACCAUCCUCUUCCAACCCACGCCGUGGCCAUGCUGUGGGGGACCUGCUCCUCACAGAGCCCCUCCCAAGGAUCGGGCGGAAGCUGCUGGGACCCUCCUGGGCUGCCAGGAUUUAGCAGGGAGGUGGCUGGCUACAGCAACAGCAGCUGGGCAAGCCAGAUAGGCCGCCCAUGCUCUCAGCCUUUCUCCCUCCCCCGUCUCAUUCCAAGGCUGAGGGAGGGCCUUCUCGCCUGGGGACGCAGCCACUUUCUCCAGUGGAGACAGGGCAGGGGUUCAGAGUUUCCGUCAGAUGCAGUGAAAUCACAGUUCCCUUUCAUCUUCAGAACCUCUGUCCUGAAUGUGUUCAAGAGGCUUUGGUUAAGUCAGGAAGAAGUGCCCGGGGUGUGUGUCCUCAGUCUCCCUGAGGCCUGGGCUCGCCCAUGAACCCAAGUCGGCUUCUAGACAGCAUGUCCCUACCAGCAGCCCUGGGCCCCCACCGCUUCUACCAUCCACCCCAGACUUCCCACACACCCUUCCUGCUGCUCUUCUUCCUGCCCUUAUCAACCUGGGUCCCUCACACUUUGCCAGUUGCUUCCCCAUGGACAGUCAUGAGUCUAGAGGAAAGGGGCAUCUGGUCUCAGGCCCGUGCUCUCGGGUGGCCUCCACCUGCUCCCUCUCUCCUCACUGGCCUUUCUUUCCAUCUAGCUUCCUCUUCAGGAAAUGUCCUGACUCUCCUCAGCUCCCCCUUCACCCCUCCUUGCCCGCCUACCCUCCCUCCAGAAUAGCCCCUCACCCUCCUUCCCCUUCUAGUUGAUCCUGUUCACCUCCCUGAUCCCCUUCAUUUCUUCACCGCGGUUCCUCGUCGUAGGGGUUCUCACUCUGAACUUUCCCUCUCUGCUACCCAUGGCAGGAACCUAGUACAGCUCUCCCACCCAGGGCCUUCCACCCUCGGCUCCUGUGCUGGGAGAAACUUCCAGGCGUGGACAGCCCAGCCUGAGGCAUUCCAGUGCCUGGGGCACCGUCGCCUAACCUGGUUUCUAGCUUUGCCCUCACUCCCCGGAAAAACUGACACAGGGGCCCUUUCCUUGCCCCUUUAGCUGGUACCUCAGUGGGGAGGCUUCCUUACCAAGAAUGAGUUCCUGAAACCCAGGGCCAGAGACAAGGACAACUUAGGGGAAGAUGGGGUUUUUGGUGGAGCCAGGGGCAAAUCUUAAUGGGACCAGUGGGGGAUACCCCAGAGCCCAUGGCCUGACUGCACAGCCUGCCUGGAGGAUGGGUGCACAGCUCUGCCCUCCCUGAGGCCCAGGACUAUGCCAGAAGCGAUGGGGUACCGUGUAGGGGAGCCAAGGCCAGUAGUUUGGGGGUAGGAGUCCCCUAGAGUCUCAGAAGACUGGGCUCUUUGGAGUACAGGGUCCCCAGCCUCUCCUUUAAGAUUCUCUCCCCAGCUGGAAGGCCGAUGACUGGGUGGUCGGGAGGGAGACCCAUCUCCUUUCUGUCCCGUUUGCAGCACUGGUUUUGUUUCCUUAAUAAAUUUUUAGUUAUGAAACAUACCUG